CUGAUGUGUUGCUGUAUUAUAGGAGUUGAAUGUCACUCUCAGCCCUGCCAGGUGGGAGGUCUAUUCUGCUGGCCCCUCCCUCACUACCCAAGGCUGCCUGCUGCUGCAGCCACCACUGCUGAUACUGGACAGCCCAAGAAAUAGGUUGGAGAGGAAAAGGCCAGAGCAGAUUGGGGAAGACUUGGUGGCUACGGCAGCUGGGAGGAGGGGAGUAGAAGGGGCCCCGGGCUGGAGAGGGUGACCCUAGGGGAGGUAGGAGAGCUGUGGCUGGUGGCUUUUGAGCCGGGGGUGGGGGGAGCAGUUGGGGAGGCCCCUCCUGCUCCCUGUCUGGCUCAGCUCUGGCUGGCAGCCGUGGGUGUUGAAUACAGCUCAGCUGAGCAUCGAGCACUGGGGAGGGAGCAAGACAGCUCCAUGGGUGGAUGGGUGCGCAGUGCAGGGGUGGCGCAGGGGUGUCAGCAGCGAUGGCAGCAGGAGGUGGCAGGGGAUGAGGUGGGGGCAGAGGAGGCAGCUUUGGAAACAGGGCCUCGGGGGCCCAGUUGAGAGGCAGAGCAGCAUACUGGAGGUGGCCUGGAGCAGGCAUAGGUAGCCUGCCCCUUCUCUGUGCAGGCCAUCGUCAUAGGACACCAAGAAAUGGGCUGGCAGGCUGCCCACCCAUAUGGGGAAACUGAGGCUCAGGAAAGCAGGCUGUCCAGAAGUUAGCUAGUCAGAACUGGGGUUCCAGAGCCCAGCAUUGGAAGAGGGCAGCAGGGGAUAAUAUGACAGAUCCUUGAGGCUGGGGACCCCCAUCUGCCCCAUCCCCAGAGAAUCCUCGGACAGGAAGGGAGGAUACCUGAGGAGCAGGAGAACAAGCUUAGUCUCUACAGCCCCGGGGCCUCAGUCUACUUCUCAGUGAAAUGGAGACAGCCUCAGGCUACCUGUCAAUGCUUUCAUCUUUGGUGAUGAACCCCGAGGUUCCAGCACUCAGAGGAAAUGGAGGGGCCCCAGAAAAACUACCUCUUAGCUUUUGGACCUCUGGUUACUCUCAAGCAGUCUGUGCCUCAGUUUCCCUCCUACAUGGGGAUCCCAGGUCUUCCUGGGCCAUGCUGGCACAGGGUAGCGGGGUGCUGUGCCUCCCCACUUCUCUCCUCCCUGUACUCUGUUCCCCCGCUCCCUGACCCUGGCUCCCAGAACCCUGGAGGGCUGCUCUGAUGAGAGGUUCAUUUUCCUUUCAUUGUGCAGGUGACAGACCCUGCUGCCAAUAAUCUCCUGUGACAAAUCAACACUGAAGUCCAGUGGCUCCCUGGCCCUGGCGGAAUCCAAGUAGAUCGAAGUGGAAAAAACCCAGGGGCUCUGGGGGUGGGGCCUGGAGGGACCGCCACACCCAGCAGGUGCAUCGGGAGGGGCCCAUUCUCUCUGUCAUCCUCGUAGUCUGCCCAGAAAUCCCCUCCCUCCUCAUUCUUCAGGAUGCUCUGAAGAAGCAGGGUGCCAGGUGCCAGGAAGAGGGACCUAUCCUGAAGGGGAUCCUGAAAUGCCUGGGGCAACAAGGAGCCAUCAAAUACUUGUAAGCUGAGGACGAAUGUGAGGAAAUCCAAUUUCCCUCCUUGUCUCUCUGUCUCUGCAGCACGGGGCUUCCAGGGUAGAUCUGGCCGGCCUCUGGGGUCCCAAGCCCUCAUCCCGUCAUGGGUGAAGGAUGUGAAGAGGGCUAGAAGUGGGACCGGUGUGCCACUCUCUGGAUAGGCGAUCUCACAGAUGAGUGGGAGAGCCUGAGCCUGGCAGGAACUCUGACCUGGGGGUCGGGGGUAGGGGUGGGCAGAAUUUCCCCUAAUGGUCUCAUUUUGUGCCUCUUCCUUAUUCUGAGGCAGGGGAUCUGUCUGCACUGAUGCAUUUUUCAGAUGAGGAAGACACCAAGAAAUCAGCAUCCCUGGCCUCUGAGUCAGUGCUGGGCACCAGGCAGCGCUCAGUGAAGGGAUGGGAUAGGUAAACCGAGGCACAGAGAGGCUCUGGUGCUCAAGCUGCAUGUCUCUCCUGUACCUUUUCUUCUGCUCCUGUGCGUACCUGCCGUGCCCCACCUUGCUGAGAAAAGAGAGGAACCUGUGAGGAGGGGCGUGCUCUGAGCCCGGGCUGACUAGAGACUGGAAGAGUUGCUCAGCCCUCCUCCGCAGGUGGAGUGUGACAGGAGCAGCAUUUGGGGUCGUCCUAAGAAACGGAGACCACCGGAAAAAGCCGAGGGAGCUGACAACACAGGAGAGUUGGGAGCCGAGGUCCUGGGAAGGAACAGGUGGCAUCACUACAGUCUAAGACCAUGGAACCUCAUGGCGCAGUUGGAGGGAGCAGCAGCAGUAGUCUUGGGCCAAGCUUCAUCUGGGGCAAACCCAUGGGAGAUUCCCAGCUUCCCUCAAGAGCCCAUUCCAGGGCCUCCUGCUUGUCCAUCGCGCCAAUCCCACAGGAAACCAUUGACAUGGAGCCCGAAGAAACUGUUUCCCCGAGCCCAGGCAUCUUCAGCUGCUGGGCAGACCAAUCCUGUCAGGGACAGCCCGAGGGCUGGUGUUCUCUGCUGGAUGCUAUCCACUGCUCCGAGUGUGGUCUGGCCCCUGCAAGGCCCUCUUCAGCCUGAGGUUUGACUGUUGACUCUUCAAGGAUCUCUCUAGCCUUUAGGUCCCAACUGGGUGUUGAACUGGGGUUGCAGACUGCAUAGCCUCUUCCAAAGGCUUGGCACUCAGCCCCAGCUGGGAGAGGGGAGCAGGCAUGGGGGAGGUUGGACCUUCAAGAACCUUCCAAGCUGGAGAGGUAGAGAAAGCAUCGGGCAGGUUCUAAGAGCUGUUGUGGGCACAGAAUCUUGUAGACAGAAUUUGUGCACAGUGCAAGGAUGCCCACCAGGGCCAAUAGGCCUGAGUGUCAACCUAAGCUAUGACUUGAAACUUAAGACUUUGAGAGAGAUUAAAAAAAAUUUUUUUUAUAUGUGUGUAUGUGUGAGUGGGGUCAUCUGUGGAGGUUAGAAGUGUUGUCUUCUCUCUCUGGGAGCUGGAGUUACAGGUGAGUGUGAGCCCCCUGGCAUGGGUGCUGGGAAUUGAACUCGGGCCCUCUAGGAGAGCAGUGUUCACUUUUAACUGUUAGCCAUCUCUCCAGCCUGAGAGGAUUGGUUCCUGGGACUAAAAGGCCAGGCCCACGAGCACUGGAGAACUUGCAACAGGCCACUCACAAUCAUCAUCAGAGACAGGGCCUGGACGGAGGGCUGGAGGUGCUGGGGUUCCAGCUAGCCCUAGCCGUCGGGCAGGCUUUCUGGCGUCCCUGAGUGCCCCCAGGCCCACCUUGGAACUCCCUAUCCAGAGCCCUGGGGAUGCUUAAGGCAGGGGCUUGCCUGCCCCGCCUGCCACUCUCAGGCUGGUGGCGGGCACUGGGUUCUGAGGACAACUCCAGACAAGAAGGGAGAGCUGGAGGGAGGGGCCACUGAGGUGAGAGAGGGAGCAGCCGGUGAGUGUUCGAGAGUCCCUUGAUCAUUCCAGUGAUGUUGGGACAUACUGUGUGUACACCAGAGGCCUGCUGGGUAAUGGACAGGGUCCCGAGGUCCUCUGGGGGCUGUACCUGCAGACCCCUGAAGCUGGACUGGGGAUCCCCUCUCAAGUCCUGCGGCCGGUGGCGGGACUGACGCUCUCUGUGAUGGAUUCUGCCAU